CUGAGUCAACAAGAGGCUGGCAGGGGCUCAAGCUGCCCACUGAGGUGGAGCCAGAGACCUAGAGGGGACAGUCCCCUCCCCACCCUUCACUCUCUGUGAGACCCUCCCUCCUACUCCAGCAGCAGCCAGCCCAGUUAACCCCUGCAAACCUGACAGGGAAUGGCCUGGUGAGAAUCCACUGGUCAACGCCCUGCAUCAAGGUGCUAUGGGACCUCAGGUGAGAACGGAGGCACAGGGACGCUGAGAAACUUAAUCAAGAUUGAUGGCUGGGACUAGCUGGACCCAGGUCCCCUGACUCCUGGGCAGACGUUUGGAAAGAGGGACCGUUUGUGGUGUCUGUGUACAGCCCCAGAAGGUCAGGCAGUGAACUUUAUGGCUCACCACAGACCAGGCAAGGAAACGACUUCUCCAAGGUGACUCUGCUAGUGAGAGGCAAAGCCGGGAUUUGAACUUAGUGCCCAGCUGUGCCUGAGUCUAGCCCAGGGAGAGUGUGCCUGGAGUGGUCCCAGGAUGAGGGCACCUGCCCGUAUGGUGGCUGCAGUCCAGCUGGGAUUACCAGACCCGCUUCCUAGGCUGUCCAUGACCAUCCAUUCCCCAAGUGUGCCUUGAGCACAGACAUCACCAUCUCAUGGGAGACCUCACAGGGCAGCAGACAGUAAUACAGAUGAUGGACCAGGUGCAGGGGAGAGGCUCACGCUGAAGGAAGACCUCCACGAGGAGGUGACAUUUUAAAGCAGGCUUCAAGGAUCUUUUGUCCUGGAGUGACCCGCUAAUAAAGGUGAAUGAGAGGAAAAAACUGAGUUGGAUCCCUAAAUCAGUAGUGGAGCCAGGAACAGGAAUGCAGCCUACAUGGAGGGAUACUUCUAUUCAGAGAGAGGCUUCAAAUGAAAGGAGAGAGCUUCUCUCAGCCUCAGUUUACCCAUCAGUAAAGUGGGGCAAAGAAUUCCUGAUUCAGAGGUUGUCUCACCAUAAGCUAGCAGAGACAAGUGCCUGGGACUUGUUGGGGAGGUUUCCAGCCACUGACUGUUCCCUUCUCCCCAGCUCAGAGCUAAAGAGGAUGGAGCAAGUAUUAGCAGACCAUAGCCGUUGCCAUUAAGACUGACUUCUCAGCUGUCUCUCUGGGACUUGAAACAAGUAGUAAAUACCCCCAAGUAGCAAAUACCCUCACUGGUAUUAUACCUACUUCACAGACAAGAAACUUGAGGCUCAGAGAGGCCAUGUGCCUUAUCCACAGUCACGCAAUGUCUGGGAAGCUGAUAGGCUGAGAUCUGAGUUCAGGGUGUUUGGCACACACAGUCUCUGGCUCCAUCACUGUCCUUCCAGUCCAUUCUUGGCUCAGAGCAAGAGUUUCCAGAUGCACCCUUGAUCAUAACCCCCUGCUGGCUGCUCAUCUCUGCCUCCUUAGCUCCCAGCCCUUGACUGUGCCUGCCUCCCAUCCCUGCCUCUCAGGGGCAGUCUCCCUUCCCCCUUACCCAUGGUCUUCAGCACCUCUGAGACUGUCCCCAAGGCUCCUCGGGACAAAGAACAUGCAAGUCUGACCCCAGGGAAAGAGCUCUGACUGACAGAGUCUCAGUCCUACUGCCAUGCCACCCAGCAAGUGCUGGAAUUCUUUGUGCCUCCGUUUCCCCAUCUGUCCAGCUGGAGAAAUAACCCCCCUUGUGGCCAGCACAAGGAUCCAGGGCGCCAGUGAGAGAGGCAUGGUGCUUGGUGGACAGCAAAGAGCCUGGCUCCUCCACCUGCGUGUAAAUAUGACCUCCCCAGCCAGGCCAGCCCGCAAACAACUUCCUCCAGCCACCCCUGCCUCCUCCGUGUAGAUCCUUAGCUCCCACAUUGUCUGUGCUGUCUCCUGCCGGGUAUGUGUGCACUUCCACUGCUCUACCCUCUGUCUACGUGUCCUUUGCAAUUUAGGUAUCACCUCCUCCAGAAACUUUGCAGAGCCUCUCAGCUCUGUAGGCUAUGUUAGGGGUCUGUGCAAGGGCAGUCCCCAGGGCUUCCUGCCUGUCCUCAGUGAGCUCACAGUCCUAGGGAAGUAUCAGAGGAGGGAAAAACAAUGGGAAGCAGGGAUUAGAGACCCAUCUCCCUCCUUGAGAAUAGCACAGGGUCCGGUGCCUGGCUAUUUCCUUGCCCCUUGUGGUUGUGUUUGGGGGUGCUCAAUAAAGCUUUUUAAAUCCACCCAUCUGAGGUCUGAUCUCAUUUACCUGUUCAGCAAGCCUCCUGGCAGAGAACACUUAAUAACGUCAUC